rnacentral:rRNA from 1 species
UACGUAGGGUGCAAGCGUUGUCCGGAAUUAUUGGGCGUAAAGAGCUCGUAGGCGGUCUGUCGCGUCGGCUGUGAAAAACCCGGGGGCUCAACCCCGGGCCUGCAGUCGAUACGGGCAGACUAGAGUGCGGUAGGGGAGACUGGAAUUCCUGGUGUAGCGGUGAAAUGCGCAGAUAUCAGGAGGAACACCGGUGGCGAAGGCGGGUCUCUGGGCCGUAACUGACGCUGAGGAGCGAAAGCGUGGGGAGCGAACAGG